UAAAGGGAAUUAAAUAAUGGUUGGUCCAACACACACCAAACAAAAAUGAAAAAUAAAAAACUAUAUAUUUUGACCUCCAUAAUUGCAAAAGAAAACAUACUGGAUUGAAAGAGAAACAGCAAUACCUUAAAUUCUUCUUUCAAUGCUUUUAAAUAUUAUCUGAACUUGAAACACAAGAUACCUAACCAAGUAUAAUUUAUUUUAGUGUAUUUUUGUAGCAUUUUCUAUCAUUUCACUAUGGAGUCAGCUCAAAUCUAGGCAUGGCAACAAUGAAGAUCAGGGGCAGAUUUCAACUCUCCUGCCCAUUCCCUGCCACAAUAACACCCUCUCCAAUCCCACCCCAUCUAAAUUAGCACACAACUAAAUCCCCACAAAAUGCAUCACAAUGCCCACAACUGCACUGCCUCCCAGAGUCAACAAAAGUUGAGAUGGAUACCAGACCAACAUAAAUAUCUGUGGAUUUGGAAGUAGAGAUGCAAUACAGACCAAAUAUGUGGUUUACUUAUCUGAAAAAGGAAAGGAAAAAUAGGAUUUUUUAGAAAAAAAUUUCAUAGCAUCAUUUUCAAGAAUAUACUGUGUUAAUACCAUAAAUGAGAUCACAACAUACAAUUCAUCCUGGUAAAUUUUCAGUGGUCUCAAUGAAAAAUACUUAACCAUGAUCAAACAAUAUCUCAUCCUGUCUUAACUAUAACAUGCCAGUACUUA
rnacentral:misc_RNA from 1 species